AGUUCAAAGCAAGAACUCUUCGUUCGGGACGAAGAGGUCGUGGGUUCGAAUCCCGCC
rnacentral:tRNA from 1 species